rnacentral:misc_RNA from 1 species
UGUAGGAGUGAGCCUGCUCGCGAUAGCGGUGUGUCAGUCAACUUGAUGGUGACUGACACACCGCUAUCGCGAGCAGGCUCACUCCUACA